GACUUCAUCGUGUAAUGGUCAAGCAUACUCGGCUUGUAUUCGAGAGAUCCGUGGUUCAAGUCCCGACGAGGGCG
rnacentral:tRNA from 1 species